GUCCUGGCAGUAAACGGUGCAUGUUUGGUGUGGGAGGAUUCGACCCUUCCGUGCCGGAGCUAACGCGUUAAACAUGCCGCCUGGGAAGUACGGUCGCAAGAUUAAAACUCAAAGAAAUUGACGGGGGCCCGCACAAGCGGUGGAGUAUGUGGCUUAAUUCGAUGCAACGCGAAGAACCUUACCAGGGUUUGACAUGCACUGUAACCCCGGUGAAAGCCGGGUAGCUGUAGCAAUACAGCGCUUUGCACAGGUGCUGCAUGGCUGUCGU
rnacentral:rRNA from 1 species